rnacentral:rRNA from 1 species
AAAAAAAAACACCCACGCCGAAAGACCAAGGGUUCCUGCGCAACGUUAAUCGACGCAGGGUUAGUCGGUUCCUAAGGCGAGGCUGAAAAGCGUAGUCGAUGGGAAACAGGUUAAUAUUCCUGUACUUCUGGUUACUGCGAUGGAGGGACGGAGAAGGCUAGGCCAGCUUGGCGUUGGUUGUCCAAGUUUAAGGUGGUAGGCUGAAAUCUUAGGUAAAUCCGGGGUUUCAAGGCCGAGAGCUGAUGACGAGUCGUCUUUUAGAUGACGAAGUGGUUGAUGCCAUGCUUCCAAGAAAAGCUUCUAAGCUUCAGGUAACCAGGAACCGUACCCCAAACCGACACAGGUGGUCGGGUAGAGAAUACCAAGGCGCUUGAGAGAACUCGGGUGAAGGAACUAGGCAAAAUGGCACCGUAACUUCGGGAGAAGGUGCGCCGGCUAGGGUGAAGGAUUUACUCCGUAAGCUCUGGCUGGUCGAAGAUACCAGGCCGCUGCGACUGUUUAUUAAAAACACAGCACUCUGCAAACACGAAAGUGGACGUAUAGGGUGUGACGCCUGCCCCGGUGCCGGAAGGUUAAUUGAUGGGGUUAGCGCAAGCGAAGCUCUUGAUCGAAGCCCCGGUAAACGGCGGCCGUAACUAUAACGGUCCUAAGGUAGCGAAAUUCCUUGUCGGGUAAGUUCCGACCUGCACGAAUGGCGUAACGAUGGCGGCGCUGUCUCCACCCGAGACUCAGUGAAAUUGAAAUCGCUGUGGAGAUGCAGUGUAUCCGCGGCUAGACGGAAAGACCCCGUGAACCUUUACUGUAGCUUUGCACUGGACUUUGAGCCUGCUUGUGUAGGAUAGGUGGGAGGCUUUGAAGCGUGGACGCCAGUUCGCGUGGAGCCAUCCUUGAAAUACCACCCUGGCAUGCUUGAGGUUCUAACUCUGGUCCGUAAUCCGGAUCGAGGACAGUGUAUGGUGGGCAGUUUGACUGGGGCGGUCUCCUCCUAAAGAGUAACGGAGGAGUACGAAGGUGCGCUCAGACCGGUCGGAAAUCGGUCGCAGAGUAUAAAGGCAAAAGCGCGCUUGACUGCGAGACAGACACGUCGAGCAGGUACGAAAGUAGGUCUUAGUGAUCCGGUGGUUCUGUAUGGAAGGGCCAUCGCUCAACGGAUAAAAGGUACUCCGGGGAUAACAGGCUGAUACCGCCCAAGAGUUCAUAUCGACGGCGGUGUUUGGCACCUCGAUGUCGGCUCAUCACAUCCUGGGGCUGAAGCCGGUCCCAAGGGUAUGGCUGUUCGCCAUUUAAAGUGGUACGCGAGCUGGGUUUAGAACGUCGUGAGACAGUUCGGUCCCUAUCUGCCGUGGACGUUUGAGAUUUGAGAGGGGCUGCUCCUAGUACGAGAGGACCGGAGUGGACGAACCUCUGGUGUUCCGGUUGUCACGCCAGUGGCAUUGCCGGGUAGCUAUGUUCGGAAAAGAUAACCGCUGAAAGCAUCUAAGCGGGAAACUUGCCUCAAGAUGAGAUCUCACUGGGAACUUGAUUCCCCUGAAGGGCCGUCGAAGACUACGACGUUGAUAGGCUGGGUGUGUAAGCGUUGUGAGGCGUUGAGCUAACCAGUACUAAUUGCCCGUGAGGCUUGAUC